rnacentral:rRNA from 1 species
AGGCAGCAGGCACGCAAAUUACCCAAUCCCGGCUCGGGGAGGUAGUGACGAAAAAUAACAAUACGGGACUCAUCCGAGGCCCCGUAAUUGGAAUGACUACAAUUUAAAUCCUUUAAGAAGGAUCCAUUGGAGGGCAAGUCUGGUGCCAGCAGCCGCGGUAAUUCCAGCUCCAAUAGCGUAUAUUAAAGUUGCUGCAGUUAAAAAGCUCGUAGUUGGAUCUCAGUUACGGGCAGGUGGUUCACUUUACAGUGCUACUACCUGAACCGAACCUAUUGCUGGAUCUCUUGGGUGCCCUUCACUGGGUGCCCCUUGAGACCAGAGCGUUUACUUUGAGAAAAUUAGAGUGCUCAAAGCAGGCGAAUGCCUGAAUAGUUGUGCAUGGAAUAAUGAAAUAUGGCCUCGGUACUGUUUUGUUGGUUCACGGUGCUCGAGGUAAUGGUUGAAAGGGACUGACGGGGGCAUUCGUAUUGCGACGUUAGAGGUGAAAUUCUUAGAUCGUCGCAAGACGGACUACUGCGAAAGCAUUUGCCAAGAAUGUCUUCAUUAAUCAAGAACGAAAGUCAGAGGUUCGAAGGCGAUCAGAUACCGCCCUAGUUCUGACCUUAAACGAUGCUAACUGGCGAUCCAGUGGGGGUAUUUAAAAUGACCUGCUGGGCAGCUUCUGGGAAACCAAAGUUUUUGGGUUCCGGGGGAAGUAUGGUUGCAAAGCUGGAACUUAAAGGAAUUGACGGAAGGGCACCACCAGGAGUGGAGCCUGUGGCUUAAUUUGACUCAACACGGGAAACCUCACCAGGCCCAGACACUAGAAGGAUUGACAGAUUGAGAGCUCUUUCUUGAUUUGGUGGAUGGUGGUGCAUGGCCGUUCUUAGUUGGUGGAGUGAUUUGUCUGGUUAAUUCCGAUAACGAACGAGACUUUAGCCUACUAAAUAGAUAGCGGAUACUCAAAAG